CCUACGGGUGGCAGCAGUGGGGAAUAUUGGGCAAUGGGCGCAAGCCUGACCCAGCAACGCCGCGUGAAGGAAGAAGGCUUUCGGGUUGUAAACUUCUUUUCUCAGGGACGAAGAAAGUGACGGUACCGUAAGAAUAAGCCACGGCUAACUACGUGCCAGCAGCCGCGGUAAUACGUAGGUGGCAAGCGUUAUCCGGAUUUACUGGGUGUACAGGGCGAGUAGGCGGGAUUGCAAGUCAGAUGUGAAAACUAUGGGCUCAACCGAUAGAGUGCAUUUGAAACUGCAGUUCUUGAGUGAUGGAGAGGCAGGCGGAAUUCCCGGUGUAGCGGUGGAAUGCGUAGAUAUCGGGAGGAACACCAGUGGCGAAGGCGGCCUGCUGGACAUUAACUGACGCUGAGGCGCGAAAGCGUGGGGAGCAAACAGGAUUAGAUACCCCAGUAGUC
rnacentral:rRNA from 1 species